UCUUGCUAUCGGGCACUCCUCACAUUUUGGCUCACUCCUCCAAUUCAGGCUGCAAGCGGCGGGCGGCGGGGUCCUCUGCUCCCCAACCAGCACGAACACCGUGCUGUGCCCCCCACCAGCUCUGGGCACCUCUGCCGUCCUCUGAAAUCUCCUCGGCCGCGCCCAGGCUUCUGCUCCUCCUCGCACUGCACCAUGCCGCCGUCCUCCUGUGCUGCCCCAUAGAGAGGAGGGGAAAUGGAGCUUGUAUUGGAUUAGGGUUGCAUACAGUAGAGGAUGUAAGCAAUGAUACCGUUCCUGAAUGUGGACAUGAACGUGCCUGAGACCUGAGCGGCGUGGAGCUGUGGACACAUCCACCAUCCUCGCCGGAGCCUCCAAGACUGUCGCCAGCGUCAUGGGCAAGCUAAUGAUUGUACGCUCCAUCCCUCCCCAUCUCUCUUGUUGCUUGUUUGGUUGGCCGUUUCAUGCUUUUCUAAGCGGUUCGAUUUUGGGGGAUUUGUGUGUUGUGCUAGAAUGGAGAUUCUUCGAUUUGUUGGCCAAUUUAUAUUGGGACUAGUGAUUGCUGGCACAGUUGAUUUUCAAGGAUAAUUGUUAUAAUAGACUGGGUUUGUGUUAUGUGCUUUGUAAGUAUAGCUGGUUGAUAGGGAUGGAUGGAGAGAUUAAUGAUUUUUUUUAAAAAAAAAAUCUAGAGCCUUUGUUACUGAGCUUGCAUAGUUUUCGGUGCUUUUCAAGGUGUCUCCAGUCUAAUACCAAUGGAGGAUUCAAGUGUUAGCUUUAGGAGUUGUGCUUACAUUUUGACUGUGCAUGUUUGCUUAGCUUGCAGCUGGGAGGCACAUGUGGUGGUGAGAUAUUAUAGCCAAUUGCAUGUUAAAAAUCUGGUGAAUCGAAUGGCAUUCAAUUCGAUCUCGAUUACAGCUAUUUUUUUUGUUUAUGUUCUAUUGGUCAGGUUUUUCAUUUUUGGAUAUUACAGCCACAUUGCUGUUCAUUUCACUUGUCUGUUGCAGUAUCUAGAGUGUGGAUGUGGUGUGUGACCUCUGCUUAAAACUGACUUCGAAGUGAUAGAUAUUAGUGGAGUGCAAGGGCCUGCUAGGCUUGGUAUAUUGUCCCAAAUUUGUAUCUAGUAUACUUUUGAACACUUGUAUGUAUCUGCUUUCUUUUAUCUUAUUCGUAAAACUUCUAAGAUGAUUUGUUGUUCCAUUUUUGUGUACACUUGUGUGCCAUUCCAGUUAAUGCAGUCGAAUUUGUUUUUCCUUUUAUUUCGGGUUCUUCAUGCCGCUCCAUUCUUCAUUUGGUCUCAUAGUGUGAAUGGCAUACUGGAAAGUAGUUGUGUGUGUUUUCUUUUACGGUUUCUUUAAGCCGCUUCAUUCUUCAUUUAGUGUCAUAAUGUAAAUGACAGUUGUAUUUGUUUUGUUUUAUUUUAUUUCGGUUUCUUUAAGCCACUUCAUUUAGUGUCCUAGUGUAAAUGGCAUAUUGGGCAAUAGUUGUGUUGUGUUUUCUGAACCCAAUGGCAUAAUUAUUUUUUGUUCAGCCCAAGUGGUAAAAUAUUCUUUCUAGUUUAUAUAAUUCUAAAGAUAAUGCAUGUGCCCCUUCAUCACUGUGUGUCCUUCGUGUGGCCCCUUUGCCUUGUGUUUCUACUUUCACGAUUCUUUUAGUUAGAAGGGUUAGUUUAUUCCCUCAAGUUCCAAUUAUAUAUGCGUCCCAGGGGAGCAAAAAAAUCACUCUACCUCCAGUGCAAGGGAUUAGGGUCCACCUUUUGCAAGCAAGGUUCAUCAAUUAUGCUCAGAAUCUUUAUGGACUGCCAUUACAGAUUAGAGUUGCUCUAGAUAUAAUCAUGUUUGAACAUCCUCAACAUUGAUCUCCUUAUUGUUGUGGUCUAUCAUAGGUAACUUUCUUCUGCUUGGUGUAAAGAUCGAUCUAAUAGUCUAGGAGUCUGAUUCAACAUCUUAUACAUGUACUUAAUAUCUCAAUUUCCUUUCAGGAAAGCAGAGCCUUUUUCCUGCAUUUGUACUUUUCCUUUGUGAUAUAACAUGACACAAACUUAGGGAAAUUACCUGCUCGAAUUUGUUGAAAAUUUCACCCAUGCAUGUAAAUUGUAGUUCCUGUUUU